rnacentral:rRNA from 1 species
CCAGCGAAGGGGAGGGGGACGGGGAAGGGUAAGCAGAGCGCCCCCAAUGGACACGGGGCGUUCUCCCCUGUAGCCCGCAAGGGUAAGGGGGGAGAGGAGUUCGGGGGCAACCCCGGGCAACUCUGCCGACCCCAGGCCUCCAAGAAAAACCCUCCCUGGAGGGAGGUGGGUGCCCGUACCGCAAACCGCCACUGGUGGGCUGGGGUGAAAGCCCCAAGGCGUUCGAGCGAACCCCCGCUAAGGAACUAGGCAAACGGGCCCCGUAACUUCGGGAGAAGGGGCGCCCUCUGGGGUGAAGGAGCACGCCUCCGGAGCCCUGGGGGGCCGCAGCACAGCACCUCUGGGGACUGUUUAACAAAAACACAGCUCGCUGCGAAGGGGAAACCCGACGUAUAGCGGGCGACGCCUGCCCAGUGCCGGAAGGUUAAGGGGAGGGGUGCAAGCCCCAAACUGAAGCCCCGGUGAACGGCGGCCGUAACUCUAACGGUCCUAAGGUAGCGAAGUCCCUUGUCGGGUAAGUUCCGACCCGCAUGAAAGGCGGAACCACUGGAGGACUGUCUCAGCGGGGGGCUCGGUGAAACUGCAGGGCCUGUGAAGAUGCGGGCGACUCGCGGCGGGACAAAAAGACCCCGUGAAGCUUUACUGCAACCUGGCACUGGACUGGGGUCGUGGCUGUGUAGGAUAGGUGGGAGGCGAUGAAGCGGGGGCGCCAGCCUCCGUGGAGCCAACGGUGAAAUACCACCCUUCCGCGGCCUUGGCCCUAACCCCGGUGGGGAAGCCGGGGGACCGUGCCUGGUGGGCAGUUUGACUGGGGCGGUCGCCUCCUAAAAGGUAACGGAGGCGUCCCAAGCUCCCCUCAGGGCGGAUGGACAUCGCCCGCAGCGUGCAUGGGCAGAAGGGGGGUUGACUGCGAGGCUCACAAGCCGAGCAGAGGCGAAAGCCGGGCCAAGUGAUCCUACGGCCCCUCGUGGGAGGGCCGUGGCUUAGCGGACAAAAGCUACUCCGGGGAUAACAGGCUGAUCGCGCCCAAGAGUUCCCAUCGACGGCGCGGUUUGGCACCUCUAUGUCGACUCGUCCCAUCCUGGGGGUGAAGGAGCUCCCAAGGGUCGGGCUGUUCGCCCGUUAAAGGGGUACGUGAGUUGGGUUCAGAACGUCGUGAGACAGUUCGGUCUCUAUCUGCCGCGAGCGCAGGAGGCUUGAGGGGGGCUGUCCCUAGUACGAGAGGGCCGGGAUGGACCGACCUCUGGUGUCCCGGUUGUCCUGCCCAGGGCACCGCCGGGUAGCCAUGUCGGGACGGGAUAAGCGCUGAAAGCAUCUAAGCGCGAAGCCCACCCCAAGACGAGGCCUCCCACGGCACAAGCCGGUAAGGCCGCAGGGAGACGACCUGCUGAAGCGGCCGGGGGUGGAAGGCGGGUAACCGCUGAAGCCGACCGGCGCGCAUCGGCCGAGGCCUUUCCCCC